CUUCUGCUUUGACUGUCUUUAGGCUUUAGUGGGUCCUAGCUUCAGUGAAGCUUGGCCAUUUUGAAUUUCAUAGUUUUGUUUUUAAAAGAUACCUCAGAAGGGAGAGAUGAUCCUAUUCCAUAUAAGUCAGAAUCUUUCUUGACUUACAACCGAUGUGAAAUUAAAGAUAUCCUCCUCUCGUAACAUGCUGUACUCAUGAGUUAGUCUAUCUUGAUCCAUGAGAAUCAUAUAUGAUA
rnacentral:lncRNA from 1 species